CUCUCCUAACAUCUUUCAGGUCUCCUUCAAGCAGUCAGUCUUAGCACCUUGAUAAGGAAGAAAGCAAAGCUCUUUCUCUCUGGACCCCAGGCUUUGUUGAUGAGCAGAGAGAUUCUUCCUGUGACAUCUCAGAUUCUUAAAACAAUCAGCCAUUGGAUGUUAGAGUUUUAAAUAUCAUCCAGUGCUGUCUCCUCAAUUUGUGGAAGAAGAAAUGCAAGUGUGAGAGCUUGAUGCAGUGUCCUCGAGACUGGACAUUAGGAGUUCUGCUGUGGGAUGCAGAAUACAGGAAGCUGCGUAUUCAUAAAUCAACUCAGGCAAACCGUCCUCUGUGAUCACUGUGUAAGGGAAGAAAUGUUUACCGAUGUCCAUGUCCCUGUGCCUUUAGAUGCCUCACCACCUGAGAGAGGGAGACAGAGAGGCAAGCACCAGGUCUGAGAGGCCACGGAACUGGGAGGUGCCCGUACCCAGCAGUAGACAACAGUGGCAUUGAUCUGCUGGAUAGGCGAGAGGAGCCAGGUCUGGGAUUUGGCCUGAGCUACGUGGGCAGAUGUGGUACAGGUGCUUGGAGGCUGCAGAGGCUGUAUCCUGGGACUCCUUAAGCGGAGCAGAGUGGUGUGGAUUAAAGGACUUGGACAGAAUUGGUGAGGGCUGAGGACGGGAAACGUGUGGAUGCCAGAAUACUGCACGAAGCCAGAAGUGGGUCAGGCGCCGGAUAACCUAAAGUCAACAUAGGAUCUGAUUGCAAGCGAGAGGCAAAUAGCCCAAGAAUAAGUAAAUAGAGAAAAAUGAAGGGCGAUCACAUCGGACUAUAUAUUCCCCAUACCUCAAGCAGGGCUCCCAGUUACGCUGUCUCCCUGCAUCGUGCCCCGGGUGGCCUUUCUCCUCGGGUCUUUAAGGGAUCCUGGCUGACUUCUGAAGUAAUUCCAGCUAACUGUUUUGUCUCUGGUAACGAGAAUAUUCUGGUAUUAGUGGUGAUGACUCCACAGCUCGGUGAAGAUACUGAAUGCCAUUGAUUCAUACACUGCAAAUAUGACUUUUAUGAUGGAUCUCAUGGAAUGGUCAUUCUGAGGAGAGCUGGACUCCAUGUAAGAAGUUGAUGAUCCUGCUUGAUGCUAUGAGGAGGUCCAUCCCAUUAGUAGUUAUGAAGACACAUUAGAGAGAGGGAGAGAAAUGCUCAGCCAGGAUUGAGUUGUGCCAGAACUUCCAGAUAAAUACCAGACAGCAAAAGACUCUACAAGAAGAAAGCAUAGACUCUCAAGGCCUGUGGAGUUUACAGCAUCAGGUGAAGAGCUAACCCUCAAGUAAACCGACCUUUCGAGGUGCAUUAAAGGGCACAGCGCCCACUCUGUCCAUAGGCAUCAGAUGUUCAUCUGUGGCUUAGCAAAGCCCAUUCCUGGCAGCCUCUGCUUUCAACUCCCCCCACUCUCAGACCCAUGAAGCCUUCUCCACAGCUGUCCCAAAGCCAAAGAGUUGGAGUCAUUUGACUAAUCAUUAUAAAUGAACAUGCAGAAUUCAUCUCCCGGACCCACAGAGCAGACCAGCUAACCUCAUGUGACAGAUGGGUGGUGAUGGGACCAAUAGCUGUCAAUCAGCAAGAAGUCGUGAAGUUGCGCUUUUAUCCUGGUGUGGGAGAUGCGAGCGAGGAGGGAAAUUUCUCAUUGCUUGUUCGAUUGUUGGAUGCUCUACCUCAAAAAAUUAAGACUGGGAAUGGCGAUUCCAUGUACCACAAAUCUGGUUUGUGCUGGAGAAAGGACCCAAAGCCCGUGAAGGCAUGUGCACAGAGGAGGCAGACACGCAGACACACAAAAGGAGCCCACACAAUGGGGCGUUUCACAUGAAAAGGACAUGUU